rnacentral:rRNA from 1 species
CAACCUGAGAGUUUGAUCCUGGCUCAGAGCGAACGCUGGCGGCAGGCCUAAUACAUGCAAGUCGAGCGGUCCCUUCGGGGGCAGCGGCGGACGGGUGAGUAACGCGUGGGAACGUGCCCUUUGGUACGGAACAACUGAGGGAAACUUCAGCUAAUACCGUAUGUGCCCUUCGGGGGAAAGAUUUAUCGCCAUUGGAGCGGCCCGCGUUGGAUUAGGUAGUUGGUGAGGUAAAGGCUCACCAAGCCUACGAUCCAUAGCUGGUCUGAGAGGAUGACCAGCCACACUGGGACUGAGACACGGCCCAGACUCCUACGGGAGGCAGCAGUAGGGAAUCUUGCGCAAUGGGCGAAAG